AGUGAAGGAGUCGUUUACAAAUGUAACUGAAUCACUGAAGGAGUCAUUUACAUUUAUAACAGAAUCAGUGAAGGAGUCGUUUACAAAUGUAAAUGAAUCACUGAAGGGGUCAUUUACAAAUGUAGGACAGGAAGUGUGGAGAAAGUGGGGGAUUCCGGGAUGGACAGACUCUCAGUGUGACUCUCAGUGUGAAAGACAGAAUGGAGUGAUGGUGAAGAAUGCAUGUCUCGGUUUUAAACACUUAGUAAGGGUUCAAUGUUCUCACUGUCUCUCAUCCUUCUUCACACUCUGUAAUGCUCCAACUGCUCAACUGCGUGACUCUCUCUCUCUCUCUCUCUGUGAGAUGAUGUGAGAUGGUUAAAUCUUUAGUGGAAUAUUGAGGAUUUUAGAUCAAAUGUUGCAGGUGUUUUUAAAUCAGUUUGAACAUAAAACUUUAAGAAAGUCAGAAUAUUUCUGCUGUGUUACCGUCACCUGACGUUAUGUUGAUAAAAAUGUUGUCUUUAAAAUAAAUCUGAUUAACACGCAGUUGUUCCCGAGUUAAUCUUUUUGCACAGUGCAUGUUUGAGAUGAUUCCAGAUAGAGAUGAGACAGAUGACGACACAGAUAGAGUUCUCCUUAAAGCCGAUGAUGUCACUGAGACAGAAACGUUCGAACAUAUCUCCUUUUGAGUUCAAUUUUAGAUGAAAAAGGAUUAAAACUUAUGAACACUGAGGCUUUGAGACAGUCUGAGACGUUCCCCUGAGAACCACAUCUUCCGCUGUGCUUCUACUUCUGCUGUCCUUUUUAUGUCUUCACUUAAAAUGUUCUGUUAUAAACGACAGUAUUUAUAAAAACAUUUACAGCAGACAAGCACUUAGAGAUUUGUGAACUCAUUUACUGAGCAGUGUGUGCAUGCGAGAUAUUUCUGGACUAUACAAAGAUAAAUUAUCCCCAAACAUGGCGGAAUUCAUUUACAAAAGUAAGCGGAUCAAUUAAGGAGUCGUUUAUAAUGUAAGUGAGUCACUCCAAAAGCCAUUUAAGGAUUCAUUCACAAUUGAAUUACUUUUCUACUUACUUAAAGAGUCUUUUUCAAAUAUGACUGCACUGUUUGAGAAGUCAUUUACACAAGUGCGUCACUUGAAGAGGCAUUUACAAAUGCUGAUGUUUGACGUUAAUUCGGAUGGUGUUGGCGUUUGAUGUUAAUUCGGAUGGUGUUUGAUGUUAAUUCUGAUGGUGUUUGAUGUUAAUUCGGAUGGCGUUUGAUGUUAAUUCUGAUGGUGUUUGAUGUUAAUUCGGAUGGUGUUUGAUGUUAAUUCGGAUGGUGUUUGAUGUUAAUUCUGAUGGUGUUUGAUGUUAAUUCGGAUGGUGUUUGAUGUUAAUUCGGAUGGUGUAUGAUGUUAAUUCUGAUGAUGUGGUGUUUGACUUUAAUUUGGAUGUGUUGGUGUUUGCCGUUAAUUCAGAUGGUGUUUGAGGUUUAUUAGGUUGGUGUUGGCGUUUGGUGUUAAUUCCGAUGGUGUUUGCCGUUAAUUCGGAUGAUGUGGUGUUUGAGGUUAAUUUGGAUGGUGUUGGUGUUUCACGUUAAUUCCGAUGGUGUUUGAGGUUAAUUAAGAUGGUGAUGGUGUUUGAUGUUAAUUCGGAUGAUGUGGUGUAUAAUGUUAAUUUGGAUGGUGUUUGAGGUUAAUUCGGAUGAUGUGGUGUAUGAUGUUAAUUUGGAUGGUGUUUGAGGUUAAUUAGGAUGGUGUGGUGUAUAAUGUUAAUUUGGAUGGUGUUUGAGGUUAAUUAGGAUGGUGUUGGUGUUUGACGUUAAUUCCAAUGGGUGUUUCACGUUAAUUCCAAUGGUGUUGGUGUCUGAAACUGAAACAGCUUCACCUACAGAAAACGUCUCGUACAAGUGAGUCGACUCUCAGCGUGUGAACGACUCACCGAGCGACUCGUUCACAAACGACCCAUCACUAAUAUCCAGAUGUUUCCUCAUGCUCUCAGUCUGUCUGCGUGCUGGAAUAAUCUUUUACAUUCUUGGUAUUUACUCAGGCA
ensembl:lncRNA